UUCCAGACUCCUACGGGAGGCAGCAGUGAGGAAUAUUGGUCAAUGGCCGGGAGGCUGAACCAGCCAAGUCGCGUGAGGGAAGACGGCCCUACGGGUUGUAAACCUCUUUUGUCAGGGAGCAAGGUGCAGGUCGGGACCUGCUGUGAGAGUACCUGAAGAAAAAGCAUCGGCUAACUCCGUGCCAGCAGCCGCGGUAAUACGGAGGAUGCGAGCGUUAUCCGGAUUUAUUGGGUUUAAAGGGAGCGUAGAUGGGUUGUUAAGUCAGUUGUGAAAGUUUGCAGCUCAACCGUAAAAUUGCAAUUGAUACUGGCAGUCUUGAGUACAGUUGAGGUAAGCGGAAUUCGUGAUGUAGCGGUGAAAUGUUUAGAUAUCACGAAGAACCCCGAUUGCGAAGGCAGCUUACUAAACUGUGACUGACAUUGAUGCUCGAAAGUGUGGGUAUCAAACAGGAUUAGAUGCCCUCGUA
rnacentral:rRNA from 1 species